UCUAGUGUUCUCUUCCCUUCAAUCAGACUCAAGUGGAGAAGUCUUGGUGUGUGAGCAUGUUAUUUCUUCGCUGUGCAGUGAAUCUUCACUUCAGGUUCACUGGAGUACCUCCAUGCUGUUUGCAGGAGUUGUGUGCAGUUUCAGAGGCAUGAGGAUAUUUUAGAGGGAUCAACUGGCACUGAUUUUGUGUAUCUAAGAGAUUACAGAUUAGCCCAGUGUUCUUUGGGGAUGCUUCAUGUCACUUCAACAAACUCAGAACAUGUUCCAGUACAAAAUCAUGAAAGAGAAGGAGAACACAGGUUUGGAUCAAACCCUCUGUGCCAUGAGAUCAUGUCCCUCCCAGUGGAAGCCGUAACACUUCUAAGCCGUAACACGGUGUAGAAACCAUACACCUUGACCGUAUUCUUCAGCAGGGACACCACUGUAGUGGUAAAGACAGCCCUGAAUAAGCUCAGUUCUUCAUUGACUUGAAUCUUGGCCAAGUAUCAAAGGAGUCUCCUAUCAGCUUCUUCAUAUGUAUAGCCUUCUCAUCCUCAGUCUAACCUCAGGCUCAGCCCCUCAGCUGACAACAUGUGAAGCAUGUAAGAGGAAACUCUCUCUUCUGAGCCAGCCUAAAGAGCUCUUCUACCUGUUUAUUAAAUAAAGUUCCACCAAAUGCAACCAUAUGAAAAUUUUUAUAAAGACAUGGCAAGUUAAUACCACAUAAGAAUUUCCUCACAGGAAUUUACUCUUCCAUCACUUUCAGAACUGUUCUCUUUCCUUACCUAUAUUUAAAAAUGUGUCAUUUUAAGAGGGUUAUGUUGAGUAUUUUUGCAUAGAAAUAGAGCUUUUUCCAUCAUUUGUGCAGAUUAAAGUGUAUUUACAGUGUGCUAAUAAAACAGAAUCUAUCUUUGCAAAUCAUUACACACAGAAGGAGUAACUUUCAAAGUUUAUGGCUAUUGGCAGUGUAGAUGUGCUUGCAGCUAUUCCCUCCCUCUGUUUUGAAAUCCCUUUUGUUAGGUAAAACACAGAUUUAGUGUUCUGAGCACACUUAACAGUUUACUCUCCCAUCUGCAGUUAUGUUUAUCUUCUUAAUCCUAGUAGGAGCUGCUGAAUUCAGGUAGUGAGAAGAUGUUGACUGCCUUGAGAGUAAUUUUUGUCAAAAAUGUGUCUUUUCCUAGAAGUUAAACUACAGUAUUUAAAUUGUUUUAAAGACACUGUUUUCAGAUAGAGGUGGUUAUAUUGGACAAGACCAUGACUUGUUUUACAGAGGAGUUGCAAAGAGGUCUCUAUAACUGGUAUGAGAGCAAGAAGGUGAACAUCAGCUGCAUGCUCAGAAAAAUUGUCAUUGCAUGAAGAAAUCCACCUGGAGUAAAGGGUUUCUGCAGUUUGGUUCUUGUCCUGGUUAAGAGCUCAGUCCUGAAGACUGAAACAUGUUUGAGCUGUAGACACCUGGAAAUACCCACAGCAGUAUGAAUGACAAUGAAUGACGGUGCUGAAUUAGAACUUCUCUUGACACCCAGGAUUCCUGGAAACCUUCACCCACGGGAGUCACAAAGCAGAAGAACCUAAAAUGAGAAUUUCUUUAUUAAAGUUCAGCAGCUGUGAUGUGUAUAAGGUCACACAGGAGAAAAACAAGUGGGGAGACCAAAUAAUUCUUCUGCAUUAGGAUUGUGGACUCCUUGAAAUUACUGGUCCUAGUCAACAGAUUGCAGUUCAGAUAUUGUUAUAUAUCCUGAAAACAGAUUUUAUGAUACAUGCACCUGAUUAUUUUUUCAGCCUAAUCCCAGUUACUUUUUUUUUUUGCUAUUUAUCAUUAUUUCCUUUCAGGCUAUCACUGGUGGCAUCAUCUUUUCAUGACGCUAUCAUAGCUGUAUAAUUUUUAAACGUUAAAACAUGAAAAAAAAAAAAAGAACAGUAUGAAGCUCUGUAGCAAUCUGUUCAGGGAAGAACUGUAAAAGGCCGCCCACAAAAAAUAUGCUAAUGUAAUUAAGUUUUAUGAACACAGUAUGUAAAUUUAAAUAGUGUCAUGGAAAAAGCAGUACUUUGAUCAGAGAUACUACGGAUUAAUCCCUAAAAGUUUUUAAGGGAAAUGAAAACUAUUACAAAAGUUUACUGUUUACAUAAGCAUUAAUAUAUUCAAUAAUAUUGAAUGCAGUGAUGCAAAUAAAUUAUUAAAGAUGCAGUCACUGAUAUUGGUGAGGGAAUUGGAAGUAUGCCAUUUUGUUAGUAGUUUUUCUAAGGUAAAUUUUGCCAUUAAAAGACAAAUUAUUAUGAAUUUGCGUACUGUGCCAAAUACAAAAACACUUAAUUAUCAAACUCUUUCCUGAACUAGAGUUAAAUUUUGAGUCUAAGUAACAAAGCCAGAGAAUGACAGAAGGAGCAAUAAAUGGGCUGUGUGGAAAAUAUCUGGCGUCACCUCUCUCCCUAGAAAAACUGCUUGGUACCCCGAGUUACACCCAUGGAAGUGCCAGCCUGAUUGCAAUUGGUUGCCUGGUUGAGUGACACUCAGUGGAGAUGUAAUGAAGUCUCCUUAGAGAAAACUAGUUAGGAUCCUUCUACAAGUGGAACUGUUGGAAGGGCUUGAAGACAGUAAUGUUCAAUUAAGACAGUGUCUAUUAAGGAUAUUACUGCUUUAUGGAGGAGGGUAUCAGGGGAUUAGGACUGGCCUAUAUGUACCAGAUUAACCUUGUGUGAACAACUGAGUUUUGAAAGCAUGCUAUUUUCAAAAGUUUUUCUGUUUUUGUUUUGCUAUGAUUAUUUAUUAUGUGUUUUAUAUACCAUUUCUUACCUAGAACAUAGCUCACUGCAUCUGAACUGGGGCCUUAAAGUCUUCACUCAUCUGUAUCUCAGAUUGUGUUCUUAAAUGUCUUUCCCUAUUCCUUGCUUAUACACAGGAUGAAUUUGCAGAUAGCUGAUCUGCUAUUGAUCCUGCUUGAAAAUUAAAUUAUAUUUUCAAUUGUUGGCACACAUAAUAAUUUAUUUGCCCAGAAACUUGACAUGGAAUGACUUGAUAAAUACUCUUCAGUCUGAUAUUUCUUCUGCAUUUUUUCUGGUAGUCUCUGGGAGGUGAUAACAUGAAGAGUACACAGCCUCUAUCAAAUAUCUCCAAAUGUAGAAACCAAUACUCACUUACAUGUUGGUGUUCUGGACUAACAGUGGUGCUUCACACUAGUACCAUACUAGGAAAAGUGCAAAUGUAGUAUCAGAGAAGUUGCCAUAGGAGCAGUAGCUGGAUGAAAGCCUUUAGUCACUACUUGUAAAAGUAGCUUGACAGAAAUUUUAAGAUGUAGAAGGUAGCAUCAAAGUCAAGGUAUUUUGGUUGGAGUCCAUCCUCCAACAAACCCACUGUAAAUCUGCACUGUAUCUAUUCUGAGUCCUGCACAUAAUGAAAGAAAUAUGGAAGUUAAAGAUACUAAGAAAGAAAGGAGAUGAGAGUGCAAUGGCAUUUUUUUAACCUGAAUUGUGGAUUCUGAGGACUUUUUGUAUCCAAAACUCUCUUACAAUUAGGUACAUGUGAAAGUAACUGAAAUCAAUACAAUAUCCUGAGACCCAUGGGAUAGUUUCUGUGGGGAGAUGGGCAGAUGUCAUUUCAUUCUGAUAUUUUAAGUCUAGAGAGCAAGACUUUUAAUGAGCAGGAUAAAAAGUGGAAAACCAGGCAACAAGCAGCCCUUCCCAGGAAAACAAAAACCCACCACAAAACCCCCAAGAAAAUUACAAAGAAGGAAAACACCCAGUAUUUCAUAGGAUUGAAACUCAGACUUCAGCCUGUAUUUAGUGAGGGCUAGAAUGUCAUAUUCUCCAAGAAAAGUUUACAGACCCCCCUAAACAGUCUUCUCUGCAGUGACUUCUGCUGGCCUGUGCUGGAGACAAGAAUUCACUCCUGGUUCAGUAUGGUAACUUACCAGACAGUUACAGAAAACUUGUCACACAUCACAUUUCUGUUCCCAUUCUUCUUAGAUAAAUGCAAUAAAAAUAGAGUUCAUGUUUUGAUCCUCCUUUCUCCAUUGUUAGCUUGAUGAAAUAUUGUCACCAAUGAAAAUGUUUCUAAAUUCUCAUUGGUAAAACUGAAUAUAACAAACUUUGGCAGUGAGAUAAAAAAAAAAAAAGUAGGAUAGAAUGAGGCAUCUUGCUUACAAAGCAGUAUGUUUUUAUAAAUUAAGCUUGUUUCCAGAGGUAAUAUACUGUUGCAGUAGAUUUCUAUGUACAUGUUUCUUUCCUUUUUUGUAAAUAAAAGGUGAUUGUUAAGAAGUCAGACAACAACAACAAAAAAUCUUUAUUUUUCUGCUAAGCAUGUGGUAUAUGGUGUAUAUAAUACAUAGUAUACAGUACACACUUUGGGAUUUUUUUUGCUCAUAGCUGCAGGUGUACAUGGAAAUGAAUAUAAAAUAUUUGAAAACUCCAGUCACCAUUUCUUCCUUCCUUGCAUUUAACUUUUAUUCUUCAUAGACCUGUCUUCAUGCAAGAAAGCAGCUUUUUCUAGUUAUAUCUUGCCUUGAACUAAAAUAAAUGGAAAAUAUGUUCCUGAUAAAAAAAUUAGAAUUAAUCUGUUAUGCAGAGAACAAUAUAUGCGGCACUUUACAAAGAUGCAAGGCUUCAAUCUUUUCAGUUCAAUGUGCUACUAGGAAUCUCACCAACAUGCCUAUGGUUUUUAUUGUUUAAUUGUUUUUUGAUAAAACUUUUUAAUUACU